rnacentral:rRNA from 1 species
GGCCUACCAUGGUGGUAACGGGUAACGGGGUGUUAGGGCACGACACCGGAGAGGGAGCCUGAGAAACGGCUACCACAUCCAAGGAUGGCAGCAGGCGCGCAAAUUACCCAAUCCCGACACGGGGAGGUAGUGACAAUAAAUAACAAUACGGGGUUCUUUCGGAUCUCGUAAUUGGAAUGAGUACAAUUUAAAUCUCUUAACGAGGAACAAUUGGAGGGCAAGUCUGGUGCCAGCAGCCGCGGUAAUUCCAGCUCCAAUAGCGUAUAUUAAAGUUGUUGCAGUUAAAAAGCUCGUAGUUGAAUUUCGAGAUCAAAUUGUUGGUCGUGCCUCGGUACGUACUGGCAUUAUUGAUUUCUCCUUUCUGAAGAACCUUGAUGUCAUUAAUUUGGUGUCUUGGGGAAUCAGGACCGUUACUUUGAAAAAAUUAGAGUGUUUAAAGCAGGCUCACGCUUGAAUACAUUAGCAUGGAAUAAUGAAAUAGGACGUUUGAUUCUAUUUUGUUGGUUUCUAGGAUCGACGUAAUGAUUAAUAGGGAUAGUUGGGGGCAUUAGUAUUCAAUUGUCAGAGGUGAAAUUCUUGGAUUUAUUGAAGACUAACUACUGCGAAAGCAUUUGCCAAGGAUGUUUUCAUUAACCAAGAACGAAAGUUAGGGGAUCGAAGACGAUCAGAUACCGUCGUAGUCUUAACCAUAAACUAUGCCGACUAGGGAUCGGAUGAUGUUAAUUUUUUAAUGACUCAUUCGGCGCCUUACG